GAUGAACGCUGGCGGCGUGCUUAACACAUGCAAGUCGAACGGAAAGGCUCCUGCUUGCAGGGGUACUCGAGUGGCGAACGGGUGAGUAACACGUGGGUGAUCUGCCCUGCACUUCGGGAUAAGACUGGGAAACUGGGUCUAAUACCGGAUAGGACGAUGGUUUGGAUGCCAUUGUGGAAAGUUUUUCGGUGUGGGAUGAGCUCGCGGCCUAUCAGCUUGUUGGUGGGGUAAUGGCCUACCAAGGCGUCGACGGGUAGCCGGCCUGAGAGGGUGUACGGCCACAUUGGGACUGAGAUACGGCCCAGACUCCUACGGGAGGCAGCAGUGGGGAAUAUUGCACAAUGGGCGCAAGCCUGAUGCAGCGACGCCGCGUGGGGGAUGACGGCCUUCGGGUGGGAAACUCCUUUCGCUAGGGACGAAGCGCAAGGGACGGUACCUGGAGAAGAAGCACCGGCUAACUACGU
rnacentral:rRNA from 1 species